GAUUGAUCGCCCUAGUUACCACCACACAGGGAAGACAACAGCUUGUCUUUAAGUGCUACUGAUAGAUUUAUUUCUCUUUUAACACUCCUUUGAAAGAAGCACAGAGGUAUCCAGGACAUUCCAAUAGACGGAAAUUGGAAAGGAAAGCCAUCAGGUCGUGGGAAAUGUAAAGGUUAAGACAUUUCAUCAAGUAACGAGACACAGAGAGAGAGAAGCAGAGACACAGGCAGAGGGAGAAGCAGGCUCCACGCAGGGAACCUGACGUGGGACUCGAUGCCAGGUCUCCAGGAUCACACCCCAGUUUGCAGGCAGCACCAAACCGCUGCACCACCAGGGCUGCCCACAUCAUGCAGGUUCUCAAGUGGGGAUUUUUAUGUAUCCCUAGCUUUAUAGUGGGCGAUAACUAGAGGAAAAUUUAAUAUUAAUUAAAUAGAGGUAGUUCUGAUAAAUAUUAUUUCUUGUUCUUAGUGUGAAAAUGUGGAUUUCAUGGUUCUCUCUAUAUAUUAAUAUAAUAAUAUAAUAACUAGAAAUAUUUAAUUCUAAGGAUAAUAAAUUUGUGAUAUUUUGGGCUUUUUAUGUAGCAUAAUGGAGGUGCGGUGAUUGUGCUGGUAGUAAACAGCAAAAAAAAAAAAAAAAAAAAAAAAAGAAGCCCAAA